ACUGCUGUAACCAAUUGCCACAAACGUGGUGGCCUAAAUGGAGCUCAGCUCGAGCUCAGGAGGACGGAAGUCUGAGCCGGGACUUGAGGCGUUCAAAUCGAGACGUCAGCAGAGCUGCCUUCUCUUCUGGUGACUCCAGGGGAGGAUCGUUUCCAGCCCUGUCUGGCUCCCAGAGAAUCCUGCAUUCCUGGGCUCAGGGCCCCUUCCUCCGUCUUCAAAGCCAACAACAUUGUGUCCCGCUGAGUGUUCCUCCGUGGGCACACCUCCCGCUGCCAGAGAGGCCAAGGUUAUGAGGUGCGAGUGGUGCAGGAUUUUCAAUGUGCCCACACAUCUGAGUUCUCCAUCUGGGGCAGCUGAAGUUAGGGAAAAGAGAGGAAUCUCAUCAUGUCCCAAAAUGGUUCUUUAAGGCACCAGGUGUAGGCGUUCACAGGUGUCUGUGCCAUUUUUAAAGGCUGCAUUGGAAAAAUUCCAGGAUUAGUAUUUCACAAAUAAGUAGACGACAAAACAAAGACAGAACGCAAAGGUAUUUUCAAUGUGGAAUGUGCAUAUUCAGUGGCAUUAGGAGGCCUUUGCACAAAGCUGCUCCAGCUCGAUGCCGUGUCUCCUGUGAGGACCCACCGGACGCCCAGCAAGCACCCCCAGUUCGGAUGCAGGCACUCGAACUCCCAGCUGGAAGACAGCAGACCAUGCGGUUCAACACAAGUGUUUGAUUUCUGAUAUUUUCAUUUUCCUUGAAUUUCAGGAAAAUAAAUGUAUGAUGAUAUAUCCAUUGUUUGCAAAGUCAAAGAGGUGCCGCUCUU
rnacentral:lncRNA from 1 species